rnacentral:lncRNA from 1 species
GUUCUGCAGUCAGUAGCUUGUCUCUCCUAACUUUUCUUGCUUUCACCGGAGACAGCACUAUGCAAUGCCUCACCUGCGUUUCACUUUCAAGUCUGGUGUGAUGUGGCCUAAUACCCUGUGAAGACUUUCCUUCCUGUGGAAAGACAUCCUUCAUCUUUAGCAGAUUUUGGAUCAAGACUCAGUUCCAGCUUUAGAUUGUCACAGAUGAGAGUUUGGAAGCCUUGUAUUUCUGCUGUCUGGAUAGAGAUUCCAAUCUUCGCCAUGCCAUGUCAUGCCAGAGUUUUGUGUAUGUUUGUGUACGUGUGUACAAGUACAUAAGCACUGACAUACUUGCUGGCAUUUUCAAAAGCGAAUCUGGAGUGCUGGCAGUCAGCUUCACUCUCCGCUCAAGUUUGGAUAUGGAUGAAAUUGAGCAGCUGAACUUCAUCUUUGGCAAUACUGAGACCAUGAAGUCAAUAUAUGAAGACAAAUGGGCAGGAAAGAACAUACACCAGCACUAAGAGUAAACUAUCACAAACAUCUAUAAUGCAAAUGGCAAAUGAGUGCAAAAUACAAAAAGGAAUUAUUUACUUUUAAGGCAAUUUCACUUCAGACAGUUAAUCUAAAACUGUGUUCCAGAAAGUCC